CAAUUUAUUCUUUCUACAGAGCAAGGCAAUUCAGUCUUCUUUCAGACGUCGUUGAUGCAAGAUUUCAAGAAUAACAUUUACAGAUAAAAGGUGUGUAACCAUCAUGAAUUCCAGGCUUGUCGUUGUGUUUCUUUUGUGCGCCAUCCUUGUCGUCUCCGUGACCUCUAUGCGUGCGAAAUGGGAUGAUUUCGAGAGAGAUGAGGACUACGAGGAAGACUGGCCUAAUUUCAGGAACGUCAAACGAGGGUGCAAAGACAACUUUUCUGCUAAUACCUGCAAACAUGUGAAAGCAAACAAUAACUGUGGAUCACAAAAAUAUGCAACAAACUGUGCUAAAACUUGUGGUAAAUGUUAAACAAGAACCACGAACAAAUAAGGAAGCCGCUAAAACAACAAAAGUAGAUUAAAAAAAUAUAUCCUUAAUGUGUUAUAAAGUUUGCCAGUGAUCCUUUCGUUUGUUCAUUGUUUCACAUACUAUAACAAACAAAAGUUUUAUUCUAUAUAUGUAUCCCAACUUAAACUGUCAAUUAAAAAUCGAUGACAAACGUUUAAAUAAACGAUAUAAUAAACAGUA